GGUCAAGCUAAUCAAAGCUGAC
rnacentral:rRNA from 1 species